UACUCAGUCGUAUAUUAUUCCUUUGUUUGUUUCCCGUCUCUUCAGUUUUUCAAAGAUAUACUCCAAUUCAUUUUGUUCUUGAUGCUCUUUAAAUCUGAUAUGAAACUUGGGGUUAGAUAGUAAAGCACAAGGGAGAAGAGUGCACGUCAGGAAGGAGAGACUAUUUAAAGCUAUUCACCAGAAACAAAGAGCUAGGUUUCGACGUGUGUGCUUCGUGGAAUUUAAUUCAAACCUGAGGGUAAUUUAGUCAUUUCAAUUACUUAGUUGAUAUUGUUCCCUGCGGCAGCUUUUAUUUUUGCAGCCAACACAUCUUCAUUUCUUACUCAGCCAUAUAUUAUUCCUUUGUUUGUUUCCCGUCUCUUCAGUUUCUCAAAAAUAUACUCCAAUCCAUUUUGUUCUUGAUGCUCUUUAAAUCUGAUAUGAAACUUGGGGUUAGAUAGUAAGGCAUGAGGGAGAAGAGUGCAAGUCAGGAAGGAGAGACUAUUAAAAGCUCUUCACCGGAAACAAAGCCAAUUUCAUCUAAAACAACAGGUGUCACGCACCUUGUGCUGAAUAUACAAUGUUUGUCCUUGGAUAUACCAUUGAUAUACAGUCUUACAACGAUCACAUGCCUAUAAUAUAUCUGAGAAGAUUUACAACGAACAAGGUUCAGUCUUCCACUUUUGAAUAAUCAAAGAGCAAGCUUGCAACAAGGUAAGUCAAUCUAAAAAAGAUACUUCGAUUGAAUGUUAUUUAUUGGUUUGGUCGCCACUCGCCAGUGAAAGGUCUUUUGCUACUAUUUUGGGUUGCCACUGGAUCCACUUUCUGCUGAUGUUUCUGGAUGCAGUUGAAGCCACUUAUGCUGCUGCUUCUUGGAUGUUACUACAAAUAUCUUUAAAGUUUCUCUGGAUGCGAUUGGAACUACUUUUGUUGCUCUUUUUCUAGAUGUUGUUGCAGUCCUUUUUUGUUGUUGUACUAUUAGGUUAGUCCAUGUGGUUACACAUCAAACUCUUCAGUACUUUUAACUUCUAAGAUCCAGGUCCAUUCAUUUUUGUUUCCUUCUGUA